AGCAGAUUGCAUAUUCUCGCCCCUGUGUUCAUUCUGCUUCAGCGGCCAGAGGACCCGAAGGUUCUCUGCAGCGAAGCACGCUUGAAGAUUGUGCAGUUGACACUGACGCUGAUAAGGCUGCAGCCAGGUCUGGAUGUGGGUACCUUGGCUCUGUUAGUCAUCUGAGACUCCCUCAGACCCAUGCGUCUGAGCAUCUUCCACAUGUUUCUCCAGAAGAGAGAAAAGAACUACAAAGUUCAACGCACCAGGCCGAUGACUCAACACGUACACGAGAAUUAGUGAGAAGACGACCCAGAAGAGUCCUUUACCAUAUCAGGAGAGGAUUGAGGACCUAAACUCAGAAGGCUCUUGUGUGUACAGGAUUGGUGCAUAAUGUAUAUAAUCCUUCUGUUGUGACUAAAAAAACAUGCAUGGGUGUGCAAACUGCAGGGUGAAACAGAGCCUCUGUAGCUCCUACGUUUGCGGUCACAUCACGGAGCAGCUUUGGUUUGAAAUGCAACACGAACCCAGACUUCAAAGUGUCUAAAGAAAAUAUAUAAAUACAAAACUA